rnacentral:rRNA from 1 species
UACGUAGGGGGCAAGCGUUGUCCGGAUUUAUUGGGCGUAAAGAGCGUGUAGGCGGCCUGAAAGGUCAGCUGUGAAAACUCGAGGCUCAACCUCGAGACGUCGGUUGAAACCAUCUGGCUAGAGUCCGGAAGAGGAGUGUGGAAUUCCCGGUGUAGCGGUGAAAUGCGUAGAGAUCGGGAGGAACACCAGUGGCGAAGGCGGCUACCUGGACCAGCACUGACACUGAGGCACGAAAGCGUGGGGAGCAAACAGG